rnacentral:rRNA from 1 species
CCCUUCGAUGUCCUGGGCCGCACGCGCGUUACACUGAUGCAUUCAACGAGCUUAUAACCUUGGCCGAGAGGCCUGGGCAAUCUUGUUAACGUGCAUCGUGAUAGGGAUAGAUUAUUGAAAUUAUUAAUCUUGAACGAGGAAUUCCUAGUAAACGCAGAUCAUCAAUCUGCAUUGAUUACGUCCCUGCCCUUUGUACACACCGCCCGUCGCACCUACCGAUUGGAUGGUCCGGUGAAGCCUCGGGAUUGUGGUUCUUGCCGCUUUAUUGUGGCGUGACCGCGAGAACUUGUCUAAACCUUAUCAUCUAGAGGAAGGUGAAGUCGUAACA